UACGGAGGAUGCGAGCGUUAUCCGGAUUUAUUGGGUUUAAAGGGUGCGUAGGCGGUCCGUUAAGUCAGCGGUAAAAUUGCGGGGCUCAACCCCGUCGAGCCGUUGAAACUGUCAGACUUGAGUUGGCGAGAAGUACGCAGAAUGCGCGGUGUAGCGGUGAAAUGCAUAGAUAUCGCGCAGAACUCCGAUUGCGAAGGCAGCGUACCGGCGCCACACUGACGCUGAGGCACGAAAGCGUGGGGAUCGAACAGG
rnacentral:rRNA from 1 species